rnacentral:rRNA from 1 species
GACUCUCGACAACGGAUAUCUCGGCUCUCGCAUCGAUGAAAAACGUANUGAAAUGCGAUACUUGGUGUGAAUUGCAGAAUCCCGUGAACCAUCGAGUCUUUGAACGCAAGUUGCGCCCGAAGCCGUCAGGCCGAGGGCACGUCUGCCUGGGCGUC